rnacentral:rRNA from 1 species
GAUGAACGCUGGCGGCGUGCUUAACACAUGCAAGUCGAACGGAAAGGCUCCUGCUUGCAGGGGUACUCGAGUGGCGAACGGGUGAGUAACACGUGGGUGAUCUGCCCUGCACUUCGGGAUAAGCCUGGGAAACUGGGUCUAAUAUCGGAUAGGACGAUGGUUUGGAUGCCAUUGUGGAAAGUUUUUUCGGUGUGGGAUGAGCUCGCGGCCUAUCAGCUUGUUGGUGGGGUAAUGGCCUACCAAGGCGUCGACGGGUAGCCGGCCUGAGAGGGUGUACGGCCACAUUGGGACUGAGAUACGGCCCAGACUCCUACGGGAGGCAGCAGUGGGGAAUAUUGCACAAUGGGCGCAAGCCUGAUGCAGCGACGCCGCGUGGGGGAUGACGGCCUUCGGGUUGUAAACUCCUUUCGCUGGGGACGAAGCGCAAGUGACGGUACCUGGAGAAGAAGCACCGGCUAACUACGUG